rnacentral:ncRNA from 1 species
CCAAUACGCCAGGGGUGCACCUCAAUGUCCAUGAAGUAUGCCGGGCGCCGUAUCCCUGGGCGCGCCAUGCCGCCGCCAAUGCUCACCCCGAGAACUCGGCUGGGCGGGCGACGCUGCCCAGGGAUAUGGCGCUCGUGCUGCUCGUGGCAUUGCGGAAUGCUGAGAGUAUACCCUCUGACCGGAUCGGGAUAAUGCCCGCGACGGGAGUGCGUGUUUGCGGGCGG